rnacentral:rRNA from 1 species
AAGGUAUUGAAAUAAGAUUUUAAAUGAGUGCUAAGAGAAUGAUUAAACAAUUAAAAGCUUUCUUUAAUUAAAAAAUUAAAUUUAAUUUUUUCAGUGCAAAAGCAAAAAUAAAAUUUAGGGACAAGAAGACCCUAUGAAUUUUUAUUGUUAAUAAUUAAAAUUUWAGUUAUUAAUAAUUUAAUUGGGGCGAUAAAAAAAGAAUAAGUAUCUUUUUAGUUAUAAAAUAAGUUCCGUUUUUAGCGAUUAAAUGAAAUAAAUACUCUAGGGAWAMCAGCGUAAAAA